rnacentral:rRNA from 1 species
GUCCACGCCCUAAACUAUGUCAACUAGACGUUGGGUUCUUUAAUGAACUUAGUGUCGAAGCUAACGCGUUAAGUUGACCGCCUGGGGAGUACGGCCGCAAGGUUGAAACUCAAAGGAAUUGACGGGGGCCCGCACAAGCGGUGGAGCAUGUGGUUUAAUUCGAUGCAACGCGAAGAACCUUACCAGCCCCUUGACAUCCUGGGAACUUUGUAGAGAUACAUUAGUGCCUUCGGGAAUCCAGUGACAGGUGCUGCAUGGCUGUCGU